UGUCUCUACUUUUUAAGAUGCUGUCUAUGUUUGUCAUUGCUUUUCUCCCAAGAAGCAGGCGUCUUUUAAUUUUGUGACCUGCUGUCACCAUCUGCAGUGAUCAUGGAGCCCAAGAAAGUAAAAUCUCUCACUGCCUCCAUUUCAUCCCCUCCUAUUUGCCAGGAGGUGAUGGGACCAGUGGCCAUGAUCUUCGUUUUUUUGAUGUUGAGCUUCAGACCAUAUUUUGCGCUCUCCUCUUUUUCUGCCAUCUCCUCACUUUCUGCCAUCAAGGUUGUGUCAUCUGCAUAUCUGAGGUUGUUGAUAUUGCUUCCGGCAAUCUUAAUUCCGGCUUGGGAUUCAUCCAGCCCAGCCUUUUGCAUGAUGAAUUCUGCAUAUAAGUUAAAUAAGCAGGGAUACAAUAUACAGCCUUGUCGAACUCCUUUCCCAAUUUUGAACCAGUCAGUUGUUCCAUAUCCAGUUCUAACUGUAGCUUCUUGUCUUUUCUAGCUGGGUUUUUUUCCAUGGGCUUUUUGCAACAGAACUCUUUGCUGCCACGUUUUGAGUUGCUGGCUGGAAGGCUGCAAGAACCAAAUCCACAACUCCCCACAAACACCCCUGGCUCCUGCUCCCGGGCACUUUGCAGUCUUCCCAUGUCUCCUCUUCUGUUUAAAAAUAAAACCCGUCGGCAUCGAUCAGAGGGAGAAGCGAAUAAAUGAAGCAGGUAACUGAGCCAUGGAGAAUUGCCUUGGACUUUAUGGCUAAGCCUCCUCUCCAAGACUAUUAAACAGAUCCCCACUCCCUCCCCUGGCAGUAGUCCUAUUACCUUCCCCUAGGCUCCAUCAGGUACUCAUCUGCCCUGCAUCUUCCUGUUGUGAGGGGGAAAUGGACUCCCGGUUCGAGGGCUCGUUCCUAAACAAAGAAGUGCUGGGGCUCACGAAGUCACACGCUCCCGUGACCUGCUGCAGGCCUUUCCCACAAUCACAGGUGAGUUCCGGUUGACUGUGUGGCCACUCCAUGUGGAUGGAAAGCUACUUUGCACAUGCUCAAAGGCGCACUCCUCUGCCCUUGUUAUUUCUUAGGUUGACAAAUCACCUUUUUAUAAAGAUGUAUCCACAGUAUCAGGGACACGGGUGGCGCUGUGGGUUAAACCACAGAGCCUAGGACUUGCCGAUCAGAAGGUCGGCUGUUCGAAUCCCCGUGACGGGGAGAGCUCCCAUUGCUUGGUCCCUGUUCCUCCCAACCUAGCAGUUCAAAAGCACACCAGUCGAAGUAGAUAAAUAGGUACCGCUCCGGCGGGAAGGUAAAUGGCGUUUCCGUGCGCUGCUCUGGUUCGCCAGAAGCGGCUUAGUCAUGCUGGCCACGUGACCUGGAAGCUGUACGCCGGCUCCCUUGGCCAAUAAAGUGAGAUGAGCACCGCAACCCCAAAGUCGGCCACGACUGGACCUAAUGGUCAGGGGUCCCUUUACCUUUUUAUCCACAGUAUCUGAAGAAGUGUGCAUGCACACAAAAGCUCAUACCAAUAACAAACUUAGUUGGUCUCUAAGGUGCUACUGGAAAGAUUUUUUUUUUUAUUUUGUAUCCAAAGUGGUGAAACUCUCCUGCCGCGUUCUCUCGCACGCAAUAAAUUAGAGGUAUCAGUAAAAAGCAAUGCCAUUGUAAAACCAGCAGUAAAUUAAUCAUUAAAACACCAGCACUAAAACAUUCAUAUGCUAAAAAUCUGAGUAAACGCAAAGGUCAUUUUCUGCCACCCUGGGUGGGCCCGACAAUUUUUGAUAGCGAGGAAGCAGAAUUAACAGGCAGAAGAUGGAAAGCUAUCAGAAUAUGCAUUUUACUGUGGUGGCGGUGGCAAUAUUUAGAUCUUCCACCUUGGGCAUCAAAAGUUGGACAGCUGAACAGCGCAGUACUGGGGUUGCCCCCCAGGAAGGCUAGUUUCAUGUUGUGGCCCCACCACUACCGAAAAAAGGAGGGGAGAGACCUGAUUGCUCAUGCUGCUAUUAGCAAUGGUCACCCAGUGAUUUGUUGAGUCUUUUAACGGACUGUGGGUGUUGUUGUUUUGUAAAAUGGAUUUAAUGUCUUCUUAUUUACUGGUUUUAAUUGUAAACUACCCUGUGGCUUGUGCAAAGGGCAGCCCAUAAGUCAGCUCCAUAAAUAAAUGAAUACUUUAAAAAGAAAGAAUCUGAAAUGACCGCCACCCCAUAAUAAAAACAGAAACGGGAGGAAGCUAACAGAGGCUCUCAUUCACUCUCCUCAAUACCUGGGGAGGUUCGUAGGAGAAAAGUUGCACCCGCAGAUAUGAAGAGCUCCUGCCACUUGGGUGUUUAUUAAUGCAAAGGUGUGAUUAAAAUGUUUGCUGUAUAUCUAUAGGUCACCAAGCUUAUUUGGGCCAGUAUGCACAUUUGGAAUUUUUAGAACGUGCUGUGGGCGCCAGUCACAAAAUGGCUGCUGUGGGGUGUGGCAUACAUAUUACAAAAUGGCUGCCACAUCUAUUUUCAGGGCCUUGGAGUGGCAAGUUUAACUGCAUGUUCAGACGCAGAAACCUCCCCCCUAAACAAAUUCACACAUGACUCAAAUUUUGGUUUUGGUUUUUGGCAGAAUUUAGGCCACAACUUUAUUGAUUACAGAAAGUGACUGGUUGCAUAGGCUCUGGUUUGACUAGCUCCCUACCAUGCAGGUGGCGCUGACCCAGGGUUCCAGCAUAGGUCAGGCAAGGGUGAACACCUGGAUAAGUGGAAAGCCGGGAAGGGGCUAACUCCGCCACCCAAAUGUCCCCCUGGACUCAGGCACGGGCACAACCCCUCUCAGGGGUUGACCAAACCAUCAAGUCCCUGGUUUCCUUUAACGGAAUACUCUUUACAUAGGGAUGGCGAGAGCGUUCUCCCAUCCCUUCCACCUGAACCAGAGCAUAUCCGCAACCUUACAAGUUGUGACGAUUUGCUACGCGGCAGGCAAAACCCAAAUGGCAACAGCCAAUCUGCCAAGUGGGGAAAAUUCCUGCCGUGCCCCUGUCCCAACGAUAGACGACACACGAAGGUAUAGCAAGGUCAAGCGCAAAACCCUAAAAGUAGGGAGAGGUGGGUGGGUGUUCUGAAUGCACGCGCCAAAAGAGGAAGCUCUGGGUCACGUGCAUGGGCAUAAAUAGGUCCCUUGAACCGUUUGGACUGUGUCCCAUUGGCCAGAUUGCACCCAUCUUCGAGCGACCUAUCAAAAGGGUGUUGUGGCUGACCAAUAGUACCCACCCACAACACAGGGUAUCAGUUUUCCAGGUCUCACUGCAAUACGUGGCCUCUUUAAGGGAGGACCCGAACUCUCAGUACCGUGUGAGUCUCAAAUGACUACCUUUGGAUCUUGGCUCUAGGCGGUUUGCAGCGAUGAAUGCAAAUGGCGGUAACAAUAUUAUUUUAAAGCACCACUUAUUGUGGGUUGUUUUCUUUUUUUUGAAACUCAAGAUUCUAAAGCAGGAAUACUUGCCCAGGAGGUUCUGUUCUUCAAGAGUUUCCCCAAAUUCGCACCACUAACACCUGACUCUUUAUUGCUCCCUUAAGUGAGUGUGCCUAGGACUGUAGCAUGAGGCAGGGUGUUAUGUUCUGACCCUGGGCCAGCAGGGGGAUACUGUAGAUAGUUUUCACUCAGGUCCACAUAUGCAAAUAAGGGAUUGAAAGUGACGUUCAGUGAUUGGAUAGUUACAGAAAGUUGUUACUGUUGCAUUGUAGUUGAGCUCUAUAUAAGCAGGUUGGCUGAACCCUUCAGUUCAGUUCUGUUCUGGCCUAUGAAUAAACAAGAGCUGUUUGAAGAACCGCUGUGUCGUCUGAUAUAUUCACCCACAACUUAACACAGGGUAAAAAAAAACCUUGUGUGAUCACUAAAAAUGUCCAAACAAUUCCUUCGCUGGAAGAAGAAAAGAGGGGAAGAUAUUUCUGCCUCUCAGGGUCCAUGCUGUAUGGCUGGGUCUGUGCUGUUGUCAGAGGAACAUCAGAAGCUGCCUUAUACUGACUCAGAACAUUGGUCUAUCUAACUCAGUAUUGUCUACUGGCAGUGAUUCUUCAGGGUUUCAGACAGGGGUCUCUCCCAACUCUGUUUGGAAAUGUCAGGAACGGAACUCGGGACCUUCUGUAGAUCUUCAGCCAUUGAGCUACAGCCCUACAACACAACAGUUAGUAGAAGAGGUUCUGUUUCCCCAGAGUAGGUUAGACUACUUUAGCCUUUUGCUGAAAAAAUGUGGUUAUUUCUCUGAUUUGAAAACAGGUUUAAUAGGGGGCACUUAGCACAUUUUGGCAGGGGCAGGUAGCUUGCAGGUAUUUUUCUGACUUGAGGGGGGGGGGAAAUAUGGCAGACACUUUGGCCAGGAUUUAUGAAAAGUUAUUAGACUGUGUAUCCAGAUUUUUUAUUUUAUUUGACUGUUUUGCAUUGACUUAUGAUGUACCUUGCUGGGCCCUUGCCUCCCUCUCUCCUUACAAUUAUGGAUGCACCUACUGCAGUCACCUGUUAUAACCAGGAUGAUGAUAAUGAUGACGAUUGUUAUCAUUUAUUUAUUUAUUUUAUUAUUAUUACGGUCACAGACCAGUUCCGGGUCACUUACAAUAUCAGGAAAAUCAUAAAACACAACAGGAAUACAUUGAAUUUCAAUUGGGUAUAACAGUGACAAUUCAGAUAUGGCGGCAGUUUAAAAAUAUAUUAUGAUUGUUAUUGCUUUUUUAUGGCAUAUGCAAUACCCAAAACCUUAUUCUCCUCAUCUACCCCUUUGUCAUUUAUUUUUUUAAAAAAGCUGCAUGGUAUGUCAAAACUUGUUGAAUCCAACAAUAGCAUAGCAUAGCAUAGCAUAGCAUAGCAUAGCAUAGCAUAGCAUAGAAUAAAAUAAAGUAAUAGACUAAACUAGCUAGUCACCAACAUAAAUAUCAAAAAGCAUUUAUGCUGUUAAACAUUGUGUGAUGGUGCUGUCAUUUACAAGAAAAGGUUUCCAUUAGCUAGAACUCUGCCUGGUGGAGCUGAUUUUUCACUGCGUCUACAUCCCCAAAGGACUUGGUCUGAGAGUUAUCACUCCUAUUUUUAUCAGACAAAUGUUGUUUUUCAAUGGCAGCCAUUUUGUUAAAGGAACAAAACUAUAGACCUGCUUCCUUUCUCUUCCAAAAAGCAGAAAAUAGAGUGAAUCAGUCAGAAGAUUAAAAGUCUAUCUCACCACAUUAUGAUUUUUAGACCCAUUCCCGUGAUUAUAUGCUAAGGACUCUCUCUCUCUCUCUCUCUCUCUCUCUCUCUCUGUGUGUGUGUGUGUGUGUGUGUCUUUGAAUUUUAUGGGGCUGUUCAUCUUGCUCUCAAUACUGGCCUGUACAACUCGCUUGGAUACUUGAACACAUCUACUAUAUUCUCUUCUAAUCGUAUUCCCUUUUUGUUCCACCUCUCUCUCUCUCUCUCCCCCCCCCCCCUUCUUUUCUCCUUCAGCUUCUUAAAAUUCUGACUCUUUCGUUCGUUUCAUGGGAGAUAAUGCUAAACAGAGCUGAACUGUCUCACUUCCCUGUGAUGAGAAGUGUGUGUGUGUGUGUGUGUGUGUGUGUGUGUGUGUGUGUGUGUACUGAACAAUAGGUCUCUUGUCAGAAUGUGUUUCUAGCCAGUUCACCCCUAUUGCCCAACAAGCGCCAUCCUUUGAGUCACAAAAUCAUUGCGGCCGUAAAUCUGCAGCUGCCACAUUAUCUGCAACCUGCCAUCACCGAGUAAAUCAGGGGCUCAUCCCAAAUGCCUCCCUGGACAGAGUGGGUUUUUGCAUCCGCAGAAAGGAAAAAACGGGCAGGGGGAGGGAUGGUUGUGGUAAAACAACCGCCUUGGAUUUGAACAGAUCCAGUCUGGAUUUGAUGGCCCCGCAGCGCUCAGGCUACAGCCAGAACGAGUCUAAGGAGAACGUACCCACGGCUCCAGGGUUGUUCUAAUUAACGCACAAGGCCACUUUUGAUCCCUCCAUCCUCCCGCCAUUCCCCCAAUCCAUCUAGCAAUGGCAUCACUCCUACCAUCCUGCGUUGCUAGAAUAUUCCUAUAGGAGGCCAACCUGCCUCGAAAGCUACUGCGAUCAUUCCAGUUCCCCCCAUCGCUGCGAACGUAAUUUCUGGUGGCCCAGGGUUUGGCUGUAACUCACUGCACGCAAGUGACGGAAAUUGCUUUCCCCACAGGCCCUUGCUUGGCUUUGCUACACUGGAGAGCCUGCCAAUUCCUCCGGCGACAUCAUCAAGGGAAGGCCGGAGUUAAUUUUUUGUCUAUUUACGAUGGGCUUUACUCGGUGCCAUUUCCUUUGCCCACUUGAUGAAUGGGUGGGUAGAAGCGGCAAAGGAAAAAGUGUGUGUGUGUGAGAGAGAGAGAGAGAGAGAGAGAAGGAAAGAGAAAGAGGGAGAGAGAAAGAGAGAUGGGGGGUGGGGGCGGGAGGCCAUCAGUGGAUGCUUACCAAGGCCUAAAAUGGAAGACAUGAUCAGGGGCGUUGCCCAAAGGCUGCUUAUUUCUUUGUGAACCACCCUGAGAUCUGUGGAUGAAGGGUGGUAUGCAAAUUAAAAAUAGAUAGAUAGAUAUAGAUGUACACACACGCACACACACAAACACACACACACACCCUACCUACUAACCAGAGUUCUUGAAGUGGCUUACAGUAUAUAUUAAAAUAAAAUAAAAAAAAGACAGUGGUACAGUGGUAAAAAAUAGAUAGUGGGACACGGGUGGCGCUGUGGUGUAAACCACUGAGCCUCUUGGGCUUGCCGAUCAGAAGGUUGGCGGUUCGACCUAUUUGUGGGGCAUAGGUAUUCGUUCUUUUCCCCACUUCAAAAUAUAGUCUGGCCCCCCCAAGGUCUGAGGGACAGUGGACCAGCCCCCUGCUGAAAAAGUUUGCUGACCGCUGUUGUAGUCCAACAACAUCUAGGGCCCUAAGGUUGAGAAAGGCUGGUGUAGACAAUACUAAGCUAGGAAUGGUGCUCUGAUUCAGCAUAAGGCAGCUUCCUAUGUUUUCAGCAGGAAAGUAAAGGUAAAGGUAAAUGGACCCCUGACCAUUAGGUCCAGUUGUGGCUGACUCUGGGGUUGUGGUGCUCAUCUCGCUUUAUUGGCUGAGGGAGCCGGCAUACAGCUUCUGGGUCAUGUGGCCAGCAUGACUAAGCCACUUCUGGCGAACCAGAGCAGUGUACGGAAACGCCGUUUACCUUCCCGUCGGAGCGGUACCUAUUUAUCUACUUGCACUUUGAUGUGCUUUCGAACUGCUAGGUUGGCAGGAGCAGGGACCGAGCGACGGGAGCUCACCCCGUCGCGGGGAUUCAAACCGCCGACCUUCUGAUCGGCAAGUCCUAGGCUCUGUGGUUUAACCCACAGUGCCACCCGCGCCCCUCGGCAGGAAAACGCCUGUAUUAAUAGUGAUCGACCUUCCUUCACCCACCUUUUCUUUCUCUCUCUUGCCGUUCUCCAUGAUACUGUUGCUCUUGCUCACCAUCCCAGGCCACCAUCUUUUCUCUCAGCACUAUUUUCCCUGCUGCACAUUCUCUAAAUUAAAAACAUGGCAGUUCCAGUCGUUGGAGGCCUGAUGUGCACGAGCAUGUUUAAACGUCAGCGGUGUCCUCCAGAGAGCAGCCGAUCUGGAAGCAAUUGCAGCCAGGGAAGAUUAAAGACUGUGACCUUGGUGAGAGCUAAAUCUCCAUCGUUUGUAAAAUAUUAGCCGAGGUUGCAGAUCACCCGCAUAUCUUCCACCACAAGCAGUUUGGGGUGUGGCCACUUCUCCAUCGCCAAAAGGCAAGACAAAAGGGGACAUUGCACACACGCAUCCCCAUUUAGAAACAAUAACCCUCUUUAGCAUAUGUGCCACCAGGGUGAAAAGAUCUGCCCGGUGCCCCCAAAUUUAGUUUUGCUGCCCCCAAAUUUUUAGGGGGGUGGGGCGGGUGAACUCAAAUAAGUUGUUGAGGUUUUUUUGGGAGGGGUGAAGCCAUUUUGGUUGUCCUUUUUUUAGGGGGGAGGGCGAACUCAAAAUUGUUGAGCUUCUUUUGGGGAGGAAAAUCGCUCACCUGUAACAACGAUGCAGCGGAAAUAACUGGUUUUGUUUCCUGACUUCGGGGAUAUUGGAGACUAUGGAGUAACAGAGCGAUGGAGGAGGGGGGUGGGGACUUUCGCUCCAUUGGUUUUCACUCUCGUCGAUCGAGAGGGACCGGUAUACAGUAGAUAUACAUUUGGCACCCCCCAGAAUUAGGCGCCUGGGUGCCCCGCACCCCUUUCACCCCUGGGUAAAGACGGCCCGGACUAUAAUUGUCAUAGAAAUCCAGCCUAUUUUGCCCCAUAAUGGGGAAGGCUGUGACCAGGUGGUCCUGUGUGUUUGCUCGUUUGGCUGCUAACUGUUGACGGGCACCUUCAAGUCCCUCCUGCUCUCCUCCCUUCAUAGGGUUCUGGAUCUUUAAACUCGACAUGGGCCACUUUUCAAAUGGAGGACCCCCUUCAACCUGAGGGCUCUUGCCUCUGUUUGAGGCCACCUUGGCUGUUUGACACCAUCCCAGGAAUUCACAAUGGUGCAACUUCAUCAGUAGUCCAGAAGCAGAAGCUUUCAUGAAGGUUUGUUCAGGCUGUUUGUAUCCUUCAACCCUUGAACAGGACCCAGG